rnacentral:rRNA from 1 species
GACGAACCGUGCAAACGUUAUUCGGAAUCACUGGGCAUAAAGGGCUCGUAGGCGGUCUGUCACGUCGGGAGUGAAAACUCGGGGCUUAACCCCGAGCCUGCUUCCGAUACGGGCAGACUAGAGGUAUGCAGGGGAGAACGUAAUUCCUGGUGUAGCGGUGAAAUGCGCAGAUAUCAGGAGGAACACCGGUGGCGAAGGCGGUUCUCUGGGCAUUACCUGACGCUGAGGAGCGAAAGUGUGGGGAGCGAACAGG